UGGCUCAGUUGGUAGAGUGCUCACCUAGCAUGUGUGAGGCUCUGGGUUCAAUUCCCAG
rnacentral:tRNA from 1 species